CUUAUAUUUAUUUUUAAGGCAAUCUAAGAAUAUAUCCAUAUAAUACACACACAUAUUUUCACAACUUUAAAAUUUAACAAUAUAUAGUGUCAUGUUUUAAUAUCAACACUUAUCUGUAGCAUCUGAAGUGGCUGGAUAAACUUUCAUAUAUGACUAUACCAGCAUAUACAUAACUCACCUGGUACAUACAUUUAAGUGGUUCCCAAUUACCCAAUUAUAAAAAGUGUCAUGAUGAACAUCUUUGGCGUUAAAACUCUUGGACACUGUUAUUUACUUAACAUAAAUCCCUAGAAAUAAAACGUCAUAUAUAUAUAUAUAAUUUUUAUUUAUUUAUUGGAUAGAGACAGCCAGAAGUUGAGAGGAAGGGGGAGAUAGGGAGGGAGAGAGACAGAGACACCUGCAGUCCUGCUUUACCACUUGCAAAGCUUUGUCCCUGCAGGUGGGGACUGGGGGCUCAAUCCUGGGUCCUUGUGCACUGUAACGUGCGCUCACCCAGGUGCCCAACCACCCGGACCCGAAAUAAAACUUCUAUGACAAAACACUGCACAUGUUCUGAAGGACCUAAAAAACACUAUCUCUACAAUAAGUCUAUAGUUUUAUUUACUUGGAUUAUAUACAUAUCAAGUGCUUUUAAAAGCAUUUUCAUGCUUUUUAAAAAUCUCUAAUUAACUUUACUUAUUGGAUAGAGACAGUCAGGAAUCAAGAGGGAAAAGGAGAUAGAGAGGAGAGAGAGAGAGAGACACCUGCAGCCCUGCUUCACCACUCGUGAAGCUUUCUCUCUGCAGGUGGGGACUGGGGACUUGAACCUGGGUCCUUGAGCAUUGUAAUAUGUGCGCUCAACCAGGUUUGCCACCACCUGGCCCCUCAUUUUCAUGAUUUUCAUGAAAAGAAACUGUCUGGGAAAACUUGGGCUGGCUAAGUAUGAUAGGUGCAGUCAGACCUACACUUCUGAUGUCCGUUAACGAUAGAUGUUUAAAGCACCAAAACAAUUUUAUACUAGGAGUCCACUGUUCAGAAACAUCCAGCUAUAGUGGAAUUGUACAUUUUGUCAUUUUAAAUUUCUUUGUGAUCUGACGCCUUUUAAACUUCCGUGUGUGUUAAAUAUUUUAAUUUUAUUUUUUGUUUUCAGUUUUUUUUCAUUUUUAAAAAAUUUAAUUAGAUACAUCCAUUAGAAAAUUUAUCUUAUAAGUUAUGCUCCCAAUAGAUGCCAGAGUCAGUUUGACAUUGUAAUGAAAUGACAUCUGAAGCUCAAAUUCCACAAGUACCGCAAGACUAAGGAGAGGAGGUUGAAUGGGCUGUAACAUGCACAUGUUCUCUGUAAAACAUUUUAUUUACUCAUUUUUAUUCCACCUGAUUCCAAAUUGGAGUUACAGCAGUUUUUCAUUUUAAAUGUGUUUUCUAAAUUGGACAUUCUCACAUCAUUAAGCCUGCCAAAUUCUUCCCUAGCAUAAGGACAUUCCUCUAUCAUAACUGCUUUGUUCUAUUUGGAGACUGAGUGGCGAGGAUAUUGUUCUUGUCUGGAGGAGAGGUAAAAAUAACUCAUUACGGCUGUGGGUCCUGCCCGGAAGACUGUCCCCCUCUCCAAAGCAGACUGACACUGGGUCUGCAGCUCCCAAGAGAAGAUCAGGAAGAACUCCAUUUCAAAGAUGCACAAAAGCUUCUAAGAGUCACAAAAAGGUGCUGUGUCUUCAGGGAGAAGGUCCCAGGAACAGUCUAGAACUUUAAGAGAGACUUCAUAGCAAGUCCUGGUUCCAGAUGCCAUCAGGAUGCUGGCCAGGCUUCCCUGGACUGAAGACCCCACCAAUGUGCCCUGGAGCUCAGCUUCCCCAGAGACCCACCCUACUAGAGAAAGAGAGAGGCAGACUGGGAGUAUGGAUGGACCAGUCAACGUCCAUGUUCAGCGGGGAAGCAAUUACAGAAGCCAGACCUUCCACCUUCUGCAAGCCACAAUGACCCUGGGUCCAUGCUCUCAGAGAGAUGGAGAAUGGGAAAGCUAUAGUGGAGGGGAUGAGAUAUGGAGAUUGGGUGGUGGGAAUUGUGUGUAGUUGUACUCCUUCUAUCCUAUGGUUUUGUUAAUUUAUCCUUUCUUUAAAAAAAAAUAGUUAACAUCUUAAAAAAAAAAAAAAAGCAAAACUCAGGGGCAGG